rnacentral:other from 1 species
AACGCUAAGGUUGUUUUGGUUGUCCCUUCGGCAUCACCCUUAACCCCCUUCGUCUGCAGUCAACAACAUCCUUUAUUUGGCAACACCAGGUACAUAUCAAAUGGCUACAGGUACUGUGAAGUGGUUCAACGAGUCCAAGGGCUUCGGCUUUAUCGCCCAGGACAACGGUGGUGAUGACGUCUUCGUGCACUUCAGCGCGAUCCAGGCCCAGGGCUUCAAGACCCUGGCGGAAGGUCAGAAGGUGACCUUCGACCUCCAGCAGGGCCCGAAGGGACCCCAAGCGGCGAACGUCGUCGCACAGUAAUCAGGGCCCCACGUCCCGGAUUAUGACGGGACCCUGCGAAUAGCAGGGUUCCGUAGU